rnacentral:rRNA from 1 species
UACGGGGGGAGCAAGCGUUGUUCGGAUUUACUGGGCGUAAAGGGCGCGUAGGCGGCCACCGCAAGUCGGUUGUGAAAUCUCCGAGCUUAACUCGGAAAGGUCAACUGAUACUGCGGGGCUAGAGUGCGGAAGGGGCAACUGGAAUUCUUGGUGUAGCGGUGAAAUGCGUAGAUAUCAAGAGGAACACCUGCGGCGAAGGCGGGUUGCUGGGCCGACACUGACGCUGAGGCGCGAAAGCUAGGGGAGCGAACGGG